CGAACACUUGUAUGAUUUUACACAUGAUAGCCAAGUUGAAAAUUUUCGUCACAUUUUUCUCAGGAACUACAAUACAAGGAUUUCUGAAAUUUGGUUUCAGGAUUUAUAUAAGUCAGGUAUACCGUGUGAUGCGUUUUCAGAUUCAUCACUCAACAACUUCCUGUUUACCGAACACUUGUAUGAUUUUACACAUGAUAACCAAGUUAAAAAUUUUCGUCACAUUUUUCUCAGGAACUACAAUACAAGGAUUUCUGAAAUUUGAUUUCAGGAUUUUUAUAAGUCAGCUAUACCGUGUGAUGCGUUUUCAGAUUCAUCACUCGACAACUUCCUGUUUACCGAACACUUCCAUAUUUUUACACUAUUAAUAUUAUCCACUUGCGACGGGGGUAUCAUCAGUGAGCAGUAGCUCGCAGUUUCACUUGUUUUUUAUGGUUUUGACAAACAAUAGUAAAGCAUUGAUAUAACAAAUUUGUUUUAGCAAACACAAAAAUUGAAGAUUUUAAUAACUAUUUUUUCAUCUUGUAAAAGAUAAAUGUUUUAAACUGUUAAAUAUCACUGUACACUGAACAAAAAUAGUUGAGGACUAUCAAGAUUCAAGACUUAUAUUCCCAUUGCAACUGCAUUAAAUUGUUCAACACAACAUAGAUAUAGGAAGAUGUGGUGUGAGUGCCAAUGAGACAACUCUCCAUCCAUAUAACAAUUUAUAAAAGUUAACCAUUAUAGGUCAAUAUACAGCCUUCAAUACAGAGCCUUGGAUCACACCGAACAACAAGCAAUAAAGGGCCCCAAAAUUACUAGUGUAAAACCAUUCAAACGGGAAAACCAACUGUCUAAUCUAUAUAAAAUAACGAGAAACGAGAAACACACAUAUAAAUUACAUAAACAAACGACAACUACUGUACAUCAGAUUCCUGACUUAGGACAGGUGCAAACAUUUGCAGCGGAUAAACGUUUUAAUGGUACCAAACCUUCUCCCUUUUUCUGAAACAACAGCAUAACAUCACAACAUAGAAAAACACACGAUAAAAUAUCAAUUGGAAGGCUUAACUCAAUCAAAAAACAUUAAUUAACACACUAUGAACGAAUAAAUUUUAUCUGCAAUAUAUAUCUGAAUGCAAAUGCACAGUUAAUAAAAUAUUAAGGACAAACAUUCAAGGCCAAAAAGCAAACAAACAAGUCCAAACAAAGCCAUGGCAAGACACCACUGCGAAAUAUUAAAGCCUUAAAAAAAAAUAACUUUUGAAAAAAACGGUUUUAAUAAUAUAUACAGGUAAAUGAAAAAUAACUUUGUCGUUUUAGGUAUACUACUUAUGUGUAUAAAAUUCUUCCAAUAAUUAGGAAUACCAAGAAAGUUCUCCACAUAUCAAGUUCUUCAAAUUUAAAGCUUGAAACAUUUUAAUCUUCAGUGAAUUAUAACAUAUCUUUCUUAAAUUAUCUGUAUAAUAAAUUAUAUGAAUUUAGAAAUUAUAAGGAGACUUAAAGCUUUCAACUACCUCUGACAAGCAAGAUUGACAUUAAAUGGAUUUGACUUUUAUUUUUAGUCCAUUUUGGUCAUAUAGUUUUUCACAUGUUUUAUUUAUGAUACGUCCUUGACCAUCAAAUAUUUCAGCUUUCCAGAUAAAGAUAAAUCAGAAAAUGUUAUAAAAUAUCAUUUUCUUAAUGCUUUCUGUGUUAAAAAUAAACUUAAAAACAAAUUGUGUUACAUACCCCAAAAUAAUGAGUUCUGUAUUUCAAUAUGAUCGUUAGAGGAUGACUGUUUUAUACAAUGUUAUCAUGUCACAAUGUUGCCAGACCAAUUUUAAUGUUUUUAUGUUUACUUUGAUAUAUAUUUAUACACUGCCUUCUGUAUAUAUUUUAACAGAGGUCUGAAUAAAAU
rnacentral:lncRNA from 1 species